UACAGAGGUGGCAAGCGUUGUCCGGAAUCAUUGGGCGUAAAGCGCGUGUAGGCGGCUCGGUAAGUCUGCUGUGAAAGUCCAGGGCUCAACCCUGGGAUGCCGGUGGAUACUGUCGAGCUCGAGUCCGGAAGAGGCGAGUGGAAUUCCUGGUGUAGCGGUGAAAUGCGCAGAUAUCAGGAGGAACACCAAUGGCGAAGGCAGCUCGCUGGGACGUGACUGACGCUGAGACGCGAAAGCGUGGGGAGCAAACAGG
rnacentral:rRNA from 1 species